UACGUAGGUGGCAAGCGUUGUCCGGAAUUAUUGGGCGUAAAGCGCGCGCAGGCGGAUCAGUCAGUCUGUCUUAAAAGUUCGGGGCUUAACCCCGUGAUGGGAUGGAAACUGCUGAUCUAGAGUAUCGGAGAGGAAAGUGGAAUUCCUAGUGUAGCGGUGAAAUGCGUAGAUAUUAGGAAGAACACCAGUGGCGAAGGCGACUUUCUGGACGAAAACUGACGCUGAGGCGCGAAAGCCAGGGGAGCGAACGGG
rnacentral:rRNA from 3 species